UCCGUAGGCGGUGUGGCAAGUCGGAAGUGAAAUCUCUGGGCUUAACCCAGAGGCUGCUUCCGAAACUGCCGUGCUAGAGUGUGAGAGAGGCGAGUGGAAUUGCGGGUGUAGCGGUGAAAUGCGUAGAUAUCCGCAGGAACAUCCGAGGCGAAAGCGGCUCGCUGGAUCACAACUGACGCUGAGGGACGAAAGCUAGGGGAGCAAACAGGAUUAGAUACCCUGGUAGUCCUAGCCCUAAACCAUCAGGACUUGGGGUUUGCCCUGUACGGGGCAAGUCCCGUAGCUAACGCGUUAAGUCCUGCGCCUGGGGAGUACGGUCGCAAGGCUGAA
rnacentral:rRNA from 1 species